UUGAAAUGACCAGUGGUCAUCUUCUAGUACUGGCCAAUCUUUAUUUCAAGUUUGAAGACUCUAGGUACAAGCAUACCAAAGUUAUAACAUGAAAUAAGAACUUUAACAUUUUUACAUUCAAGGUCACAGUGACCUUGACCUUCAAAUGAAUGACCUUGAAAUGUCCAGUGGUUACUUACUAGUUCUGGCCAACCUUCAUGUCAAGUUUCAAGACUCUAGGUCCAAGCAUACCAAAGUUAUAACAACUUUAACAUUUUUACAUUCAAGGUCACAGUGACCUUGACCUUCAAAUGAAUGACCUUGAAAUGUCCAGUGGUUACUUACUAGUUCUGGCCAACCUUCAUGUCAAGUUUCAAGACUCUAGGUCCAAGCAUACCAAAGUUAUAACAACUUUAACAUUUUUAUAUUGAAGGUCACAGUGACCUUCACCUUCAAAUGAAUGACCUUGAAAUGACCAGUGGUCAUCUGUUAAUCCUGGCCAACCUUCAUGUCAAGUUUGAAGACUCUAGGUCCAAGCAUACCAAAGUUAUACCAUGAAAUAAGAACUUUAACAUUUUUACAUUCAAGGUCACAGUGACCUUGACCUUCAAAUGAAUGACCUUGAAAUGACCAGUGGUUACUAACUAGUUAUGGCCAACCUUCAUGUCAAGUUUCAAGACUCUAGGUCCAAGCAUACCAAAGUUAUAAGAACUUUAACAUUUUUUAUAUUGAAGGUCACAGUGACCUUCACCUUCAAAUGAAUGACCUUGAAAUGACCAGUGGUCAUCUGUUAAUCCUGGCCAACCUUCAUGUCAAGUUUGAAGACUCUAGGUCCAAGCAUACCAAAGUUAUACCAUGAAAUAAGAACUUUAACAUUUUUACAUUCAAGGUCACAGUGACCUUGACCUUCAAAUGAAUGACCUUGAAAUGACCAGUGGUUACUAACUAGUUAUGGCCAACCUUCAUGUCAAGUUUCAAGACUCUAGGUCCAAGCAUACCAAAGUUAUAAGAACUUUAACAUUUUUUAUAUUGAAGGUCACAGUGACCUUCACCUUCAAAUGAAUGACCUUGAAAUGACCAGUGGUCAUCUGUUAAUCCUGGCCAACCUUCAUGUCAAGUUUGAAGACUCUAGGUCCAAGCAUACCAAAGUUAUACCAUGAAAUAAGAACUUUAACAUUUUUACAUUCAAGGUCACAGUGACCUUGACCUUCAAAUGAAUGACCUUGAAAUGACCAGUGGUUACUUACUAGUUCUGGCCAACCUUCAUGUCAAGUUUCAAGACUCUAGGUCCAAGCAUACCAAAGUUAUAAGAACUUUAACAUUUUUUAUAUUGAAGGUCACAGUGACCUUCACCUUCAAAUGAAUGACCUUGAAAUGACCAGUGGUCAUCUGUUAAUCCUGGCCAACCUUCAUGUCAAGUUUGAAGACUCUAGGUCCAAGCAUACCAAAGUUAUACCAUGAAAUAAGAACUUUAACAUUUUUACAUUCAAGGUCACAGUGACCUUGACCUUCAAAUGAAUGACCUUGAAAUGACCAGUGGUUACUAACUAGUUAUGGCCAACCUUCAUGUCAAGUUUCAAGACUCUAGGUCCAAGCAUACCAAAGUUAUAAGAACUUUAACAUUUUUUAUAUUGAAGGUCACAGUGACCUUGACCUUCAAAUGAAUGACCUUGAAAUGACCAGUGGUCAUCUGUUAAUCCUGGCCAACCUUCAUGUCAAGUUUGAAGACUCUAGGUCCAAGCAUACCAAAGUUAUACCAUGAAAUAAGAACUUUAACAUUUUCGAGCACGC